AUUGAACGCUGGCGGCAGGCCUAACACAUGCAAGUCGAGGGGAGCGGCAGACGGGUGAGUAACGCGUGGGAACGUACCUUUUGGUUCGGAACAACACAGGGAAACUUGUGCUAAUACCGGAUACCGAAAGAUCGGCCCGCGUCUGAUUAGCUAGUUGGUAGGGUAAUGGCCUACCAAGGCGACGAUCAGUAGCUGGUCUGAGAGGAUGAUCAGCCACAUUGGGACUGAGACACGGCCCAAACUCCUACGGGAGGCAGGAGGGGGGGAUAAUGGAAAAGGGGGGAAAACCUGAUCCAGCCAUGCCGGGGGAGUGAUGAAGGCCCUAGGGUUGGAAAGCUCUUUUGGGCGGGAAGCGGUACCGCAAGAAUAAGCCCCGGCUAACUUCGUGCCAGCAGCCGCGGUAAUAC
rnacentral:rRNA from 1 species